rnacentral:tRNA from 1 species
UUUUAUAUAGUUUAAAUUAAAACAUUAUAUUUUCAUUAUAAAAUUAAAGAAAAUCUUAUCUUUUAUAAAAU